CAAACAGAGUUGCCCUUGUUAUGGCACAUUUACAUUGAUGCCCCUUACAAACAAUGUCCAGUGGUUUGACCUUCAGUUCCUGCUACUGACCAUUUGCUAUCUUCAACGGCUGUAGCAGGACACAAAAAACAGUAAAAUGUCAAAAAAGCCUUGGGGCACCAUUGUACCUGCUCCCUUCCCAUUAGGGCAUCAGACUCUAAGCAACAGGGAGACUGAACAACUAGUACAAAGACUUCAUUCAAGCAAGCGAUGCACAAGCUGUGGUGCCUCUGAUCUCCUUCACCAGCCAAGGAAGAUCAAGGUUCUAAGUUCAGAAUGUCUAAACCAGCUUCUACAAAGACUUACUCUGCAUUCUGAGAAGAAAGCCUCUGACAGCAAAAGGAUAGCACAGGGGAAAAUCCUUCAAAUUGGGGUAUUGAAUUCUUACGCAUGGAAAGGUUGGAACUAAAAUAUGCCAAAUAACUGAUUGUAAUAGGCUUUCAAUGCCAUACAUAGUGUUGGAAAGAACAAUAAAAUAAACUCUCUGGAUAA